rnacentral:lncRNA from 1 species
UACUGACGAAACAGGACACUUGAACUUAAAAAUCUAUAUCUGGAGUUUUACUUAUCCACAAAAUAUAGCAUUUACCAAUAUGGAAAUAUUAUGAAAAUCUCUACAACAUACUCAAAGUUCGAGAGUCCUAUUCAGACCCUGAGGUUUCCAAAAUCCUUAUAGAUCCAGUUCUGUCCAGAACCUCGUCAGAACUUGACAGCUCACUUAAAAAAAAUCAUAUCUUUUCAACC